rfam:Oryza sativa (indica cultivar-group) chromosome 7, whole genome shotgun sequence.
AAAAAGACAAACCUUGGUUUUCCGUGUCUAAUGUUUGACUGUCCGUCUUAUAUGAAAUUUUUUAUAAUUAAUAUUUUCAUUGUUGUUAGAUGAUAAAACAUGAUUAAUACUUUAUGCAUGACUUGUCUUUUUAAUUUUUUUUCAUAAUUUUUUUAAAUAAGACGGACGGUCAAACGUUGGACAUGGGAACCCAGAGUUUGUCUUUUU